UUCUUCAAUGGUGAUCCUCAUCCACAUCCAUUCAUAGAAUUGGUCCGUUUCACUUUUACUCAAAGGAAAGAAAAACAAAGUUUUUUCCAUAAAAUAAAGAAAUUUUUUAGUUAGAAAACAGUCUUCCCGGAAAGAAAAUCUUGCGAGAGAUUUUUUUUCUUUUUCUCGUAACCCUAAUAUUGUUUCCCACCGCCCACGACUCUCUUAUCCACCACCUUCCUUCUAUUCCAGAAGUUUAACAAAAGGUCGAUUUGAUUAUUUUGAUCAACUGGGUUUUUUUUAUCUGUGCAGGUAAAAUCUCACAUCUUCUUCUUCCUUUAUUUGGCAAUCCCACAUAUAUCCAGUAUCAUCAACAACAUCAGCUAAUUUCCAGUGAACACUAAGUAUACUUAGAUAAAUAGGGUUUCGUUGUCAUCAUCAUCAUCAUCAUCUCUAUUUUGCUAGAUGUUGUUAGGGUUCACUUUUUUAUUAGGGAUACUUAGAUAAAUAGUUUUGUGCCACUAAGUUUGCAGAGAGGUUGGAUUAAUCUUCAAGGUAAACUAUAAUCAAUUUUUGGUGUGUAGUUUUACUGUUUUUUUCUUUUUCAACUCAACUCUUUACUUUAGAGUGAUUUAUGUCAUUGUUAAUGGAUUAAUACAAAUCACAGUGCCCAGAUUCGAAGCAAAACCAAUUUGUUUUCCCAUACAUAUGAUUAUUGUCUCAAUCUUUAAACUUUGACUCUUAGGGUUUCUCCUAAUUUUUUUAGGGAUUUGAAACAUUUGAUUUGCAGAUGAGUUACUUAAUUGGAGAUGCCCGAAAAUUGUUGCCAAAUGUAUUUUAUCUCUAUCCAUUUAGUGGAUUACUAAUAAUGCUAAUGGUAAAAGCUCUUUUAUGCAAAUCAAAAGUGCUCCCAACGUAUGUUUGAUUAUUGAUAGUGACAGAUAAAGAAGAAAAAACUAACAACAUGUUGUUUUUGUUGCACUGUUUUAAUCAACACCAAAGUAGAGAGUUUUGAUUUAAAUUUUGUUUCAGUACAUUGGUUAUAAUAUUUACAGAAAACUAUAUUCAUGAAGGCACCAAUUCGGAUUCAUAUGCUAGACUUGGUAUGUAGUUCCUAAUAAUAUUGAAGCUCUUUAUGUUUAGAUGUGGAAAGUCAAAUUUGGUUUCACAGCUUCCAGACUAAUCGAUAAAUGAGUGCCAAUUUCCGUUUCAUAAUGCUUUGGGUGUGUUUUGUAGGGUACCCAAGCAUUUUGUAGUAUUGGAAAUCAGGCAUUAAGGUAGAGAUGGAUAUGUUGAUUUCCACAAUUUUGGACGCCAUAAUGUUUUGGAUCUUCAUGUAUAAAUUGAUGUUCUCUCAAUUCAACCUAUUUUUGUUCUUAAGCACCUUCUAAAUUCAAUUUUCUUAUGCUCUAUUUUUGUUCUUAAGGAAGUACAAACACGACAUCUCUCUUAGUCUGAAACAAUAAUGGUAUGCCUUACCUACUUUGUAUGUGAUUAUGAUUUAAACCAUUUUACUUUUUUACUAAAUGUUGUUUGGUUAUGCAGAUGGUAUCUACGAAUACACCUGACCAGUAUGAGUCAUCAUAAUUUUUUCUUGAUAAUGCCUGAAUUACUUUUAGCACUAACCGGUGACAGUGUUACCGUCAAGAGAAAUUACACUGACAUGCAGACUAUUAUUACUAUCUUGGUAAUAACAAUUUUCAAACCAAAACAAAACACAAUACCAUACACUAAUAUAUUAGUCAUUGCAAAUUCUCAAUUUUGUAAUCUAUUUCUGGCAUAUGUGAUCCAAUUAAACUUUCAUUUCGACUAAUUUGUUUUUCAAUAACCAAACAUUAUUACAAUCUUUGUCUAAUUUCUUUUCUUUUUAAUGAACUAUUUUUUUUUGCGGGGUGACAACAUUUUGAUGGAUUAUGUUUUUGCAUGUUUUAUGCAGGUUCUUUUGCUCGAGUAAGUGCUUGAGGCAACACUAUCUCUAGAAGGUUGCAUGCUUCUUCUCUUUAGACAAAUUGAACGCUGCCAAUGACUCUUAUUUCCAGAUUGGAAUAAAAAUCACAGGCACAACCAAGACCGUUCGUCCAUUCCUGGUUCGGCAAGACAAAACUGAAGGUACUACUCCCAAGGUUUCUUCUCUGUGAUCUUCUCCUCCCUUCUUAGUUCCAUCAUAGUCUUGAAAACCAGUGAAGAUACACACAUUUUUUGGCUAAAGAACUGGAUCUGAAGACAGGUUGUUAACAUUGUAGGUAUUAUUUUUUUUCUUGGAUGUUUAAACUUGUUAUUAAUGGUUUUGCAAGUUUUAUUUCUAGGUUGGUGCUCUGUAAUUGUUACUUUUUCUUUUUGAUUGCAAAUCUCUUUUCAGGGUAAUAAAAGCAGGGUAAUAAAAAGCAUAUUGUAUUACAAGUAUUGUUAGUACAACUUCUCUUCUUCCAUGUACACAAAAAAAUUUAUGAAUGUGAUAAUAAUACCUUGGUGUGUCAACACGAGUGGACUUGAAACGCCUAAACGAAAGAGAAUAAAUUCGUUUUGCUUCUUCCUCUUCACAAAACGGUCAAGGUGAACAUGAUGCGAUUCCUGGGGAUGAAGAAACUGAAAGGGUACACAAUUCAAAUGGUGUAGUCUGUCAAGGUGCAGUUACAGGACAGGGCGAGAGAAGCCGAGUCACACCAAAUCAAAUCGGGAUGAGGGAGGCUUCAAAUUGGGACGGGCGAGGCGAAGCCGAGCGUUAUCAAAUCAAAAUAUGGGAUGCAUAGCACGGGCAAACAAAAAUAUUAAUUCAAAUAGGGAUGGGGCGAGGCAGGCGAAGCCGAAGCCGAGCUUUACCAAUUCAAAUCGGGCGGGGCAAUGUGAAGCCGAAGGCGAACUAUAUAAAGUCAAAAAUAUGGUUCAUAGAACAAAAAUGCCCGAGCAUAGCACGGGCACAAAAUCUAGUACGAUGAUAAUUUAUUCUUCUGUAAGUCAAAAUCUCCGUUUUUUUAAAUAUGGGAUUAGCCAGACCUAACUCGCACGAGCAGACCUAGAUAGUUGGGCUGAUGCCAAUGUUGAUGGCAAUCCCCAAUUAU